rnacentral:rRNA from 1 species
UACGGAGGGUGCAAGCGUUGUCCGGAAUCACUGGGCGUAAAGGGCGCGUAGGCGGCUCAUGAAGCUGUGGUGAAAGUCCGGGGCUCAACCUCGGAUCGGCCGUGGCGACUCGUGGGCUGGAGCACUGUAGAGGCGGGUGGAAUUCCGGGUGUAGCGGUGGAAUGCGUAGAUAUCGGGAGGAACACCAGUGGCGAAGGCGGUUGCCUGGAGCUUUGCUGACGCUGAGGCGCGAAAGCGUGGGGGAGCGAUCCGG